CGCCGCACAGGUUCGGCAUCUGCUUCUCGCACUUCUUGUGGCAGUUGGUCCCACACACUGAGGAAGAGGAACGGCAGUUAGUUACAACACUUGUCCUGUUCUCUGAUACUCUUAAUGUUGAGCUGCUGUUAGGAGUGAUGCCGCCAGCCGUCACGCGCCGCGCCACCUGCUUGCCAAGAUGCAGCUGGCCAAGGUUUUUGUCACCACCACGCACAGUGACGCCGCGAGUGGAUGUGCCUCAUAUCACCAAUCGCAUCUCUGAGCAACACCCGCCCUGCUGAAGGACACUUUCCUGACACCUCUCCCUGCCCCUCCCCCUCUUGCCCCGCCUCUACCAGCCCCGCCUCACCGGUCCGCCUUGGUGAGUGUUCUGACUAGUGUAACAACCCAAGCGUAGCGCAGUAAAGAAAGUUUGAUUCAGUGUAAAAGUGAAGCGUUGCAUGAUAAGGCAGGAAUUUAUGCCUGUGGGAACACUCAUUGGAUGGAAUAAAGGAGUAAUUAUCUAAGAGGAAUCCGAAAAGAGAGGAAAGUUAGUUUUUAUUUAUUUUUUUUUUUUUUUACUGUAGGGGGAAAACAUAGAAGUGCACAUUGUUUGGUCUCUGUAUUAAGACAUAUAAGGCUAUUUAUAUAUGGUAUGAGGAAGGAAGGAAUGAAGGAAGGGAGGAAGGGAGGAAGGAAGGAAAAAGGAAGUGUUGGAUACAAGAAAAGAAGGAAGAAAGCAGUGAAGGAGAGAAGGAGUAUUACUUACAACGAAGGAAGCUAUAUUAUGGAGCAGUAAUAUGAAAAGAAAUGAAGAAAGGCUGCAUAUAAGAAAGGAAGGAGUGCAGGGUGAAAAAGGCGGCG